UGUGGUAUUUAUUAAUGGGCAAACUUACUGUAUUUAUUAAUGGGCUCAAUGACUGUGAUAUUUAUUAAUUGGCAAACUUACUGUAUUUAUUAAUGGGCACAAUGACUGUGGUAUUUAUUAAUGGGCAAACUGACUGUGAUAUUUAUUAAUUGGCAAACAUGAUGUGGUGUUUUUAAUGGGUACCUGGCUUGGCAUAUGUUUAAUAGGUAAACUGACUGUGGUAUAUUUUUAAUGGGAAAACUGACCGUGACAUGUUCUAGGGGAGAAAGUGACACUGUUCUGUGUAUGAACUUUAUUACAAGGAUUUUUUAAAUGUAUUUUUUUCUGGGAAGAGCUUUGGUGUACCUUGGGUGAGAAAAGGUUGAGGAGCACUGUACUGAACUGUAGAUGAUGUACUCCAAAAAUGCACAAUAUUCUUCCAUAGACAUGUGCAAUUCGGACAAAUUUCGGGCAAUUCGGACAUUCGGGUACUUCCGAAUGUCCGAAAAGCCAAAGUGCCGAAUAGCCGAAGUGCCGAAUAGCCAAAGUGCCGAAUUACUGAGGUGCUGAAGUGCCGAAGUGCCGAAGUUCCGAAGCACAGUAUUGCCUAAGUACUAAUAUACCUACC